CUGGGCUCUGACCUCUUUCCUUGGAAAUGCUGCUCACUGUAGUCCUCAACUCCUAGAGGUGAUGUGACCACCAAAGGCAGUCAAGUCGGGAAGAUGCCUCGCACCGUGACAGGGAUGCAAUGUUUUUCGUCGAGGAGUCUUCAACCUUAUCCCAAAAGGCUGCUCUUCACUACCUUGUGAGUAGAGAUGCAGCUGAUGGGGCAGGAACCUGUGGUUUUCCAUGAGAAUGCAGAGAAAUGCAGUCAGAAUUGGAGGUGCCCAGCGGGCCAAAGGAUGCCACUAGAUUGGGAAAAUGAAACAGCGCCAUGAAGGCCGACAAGU